GUGGCUGUGCAGUGGUAGUGUCAUAGCUCAUGAGUUUUAUCUGAGGUGUGAUUAUUGCUAGUUGAAAACUUUACCCAAUACCCUGCCUUGUUCACUUGAAAUAUAGUCAGCUAUGGCAAUUUUUGAUAGUCUCCACUGAAC